CAUCAAAAACCAAGUCUCUAAGCAAUGGAUGUCUUGGCUCCUCACACGAUGAAGAACGUGGCAUAAUGUGUUAAGUAACCGGAGUUGCAAACAUCAUGACAGGUUAAUCUUUGAAUGCAAAUUGCGCUAAACUCGAUCUCGGUCGAGAAGCAUGGGUGUGACAGUACUACAUCUUUUAUAAUAAUUCUUAUUCUAAGCGAAUAAGUAAAUAAUAUAUAAGACAAACAACACGUAGUCUGCCAUACGCAGGAAGACCCGCUGAACUGAAGCAUCUCAUUAAGCGGAGGAAAAGAAACUAACUAGGAUUCCCUUAGUAAAGGCGAUCGAAAAGGGAACAGCCCAACGUCUUAAUCCCGCAAGGGAAAUGUAGUCGGUUCACCUAUUGCACUGGUCUAAGUCAGAUGGAAUGCUGCGCGAUUCAGAGUAAAAGCCUCGUAUGACCAACCGCAAGCUUACGAUGGACCGGGGAGAGUCGGAUACUUUGAGAGUAGUGUCUUAAGGGGGUGGUAUGUCCCAUCCAAGGCUAAAUAACGUGAGGAGACCGAUAGAUUACAAGUAGUGUGAACGAUAGAUGAAAAGAACUCU
rnacentral:ncRNA from 1 species